GUCGCGUGCAACUGGCGACUUUUCUCGUUUUUUCAUUGCUAUUUAUCUGAUUACAGAUCGAAGGAAAAGGGCAGGAUCGUGCCUCCUAUGCCACCUGCGAGACUACCGGGCACGGCGUGGUGACCACGUCCGAUCCGCCCCUGCUAGCUAUCUUCACGGCGCGCACAAGUCACGGCUCGUGACCGUUAUUUCAUGUGCAGAAGCAAAACUAUCCUACCUAAGCCAACGGCUAGAUUAGCUAACAGGCGACAUGGCCGUGUCGAGGAGCUCUUGGCUCCGGCAAGCAUCUAACUAGGGGGCGCUUGGAGCAACACGUUAGGGGAAAUGGAGCAGCAGCUCACCCCGGUUCUAGCAGAGGCAACGACAUGCUCGGGGAGGCUCAGGAUGGAGCAAAUCGUCGACGGCAUCCUGCGGUCACCGGCAACGAGGAGGAGCUCGAUGCCUUUGAUCCUGGGCAUCCCGGCUCGAUUCCUCUCGCAUCGAGAUGGGGAGGAGCAUGGAGGAGCCAGGGGACACGUCAGUGGGCCUCGGCGAAGCUAGAGGCCACGGUGACAGCAGUCGGCAGCGAUGAUGGCGCUCGGCCAUGGUCGGGUGAUGCGAGAGAGAGGGAAGGGGGAGGAAUGGAUGGGGUCAGCGAGACGUGGACGGCUCUGUGGGGUUUAUCCCUAGUGUCGACGUGGCUCGGGGCAAGCACGAGGUGGCCGGGAGCGGCUGCUCGCUCUACAGCGGCCUUUGUGCUCUUGCAACAGGAGGAAGACGAUAGGAGCUGUGUGCGCUCGGCUAGGUAGGUGGGCCGAAGAGCAGUCUAUCUGGCAUCUAAUUCAGUUCAACAUCGUCGCACGAAGCACAUUGAGAUCGACAUCCACUUUGUUCGUGAGAAGGUGUCUCUUGGCGAGGUUCGAGUUCUACAUGUUUCAACAAAUGCGUAAUUUGCUGAUAUCUUCACCAAAGGACUUCCCAAUGCAUCCUUCACCAACAUAUGCAUAUUAGAGUAUAUUCGGUCGUUUUAGUUUUGGUAGUUUGAAUUCUAAUCUAUCUCUUCUAUACUUGGACUCCAAGACUUUGUACUUCUAUAAGCAGCCCACUAAGGCAUCAAUUAAUACACAAUUAUUAUAAAAUAUCAUAUCCUUCUUUGAUCCGGGACAUUCAAGAUUUGUUUUUCAUGGCAAAUCAUGUAUGCAAAGCUUUUAUAUUUGCAAUUCUUCAUAACUAUGACGUGUAUUGUGACUGAGUUAGAGAAAUGACAAGUUUUGUUUGGUCCAAUGAUGUGCUAGAUGAUGCAAUUAUAAGAUAAGGAGCUGGUGCUACUCGUGCUUAUGAUGAGCUAAUAUGAUGUGCUAGAUGAUGCAAUUAGAAGAUAAGGAACUGCCAGGGGUGAUGAUGAGCUAAUACGUUCACAGAUGAAGAUCAGAUGAAAAAUGUUAUUGAUACUCUUCAAGAAUGAGAAACUGGUAUGUUUUAUUGGCUAUUAAUUAUGCAUUUGUUAAUGCAUUUUUAACUGAUGACCCCUCUUAUAGAGUUAGCUUGAA